rnacentral:rRNA from 1 species
GACGAACCGUGCAAACGUUGUUCGGAAUCACUGGGCUUAAAGGGCGCGUAGGCGGGCGACCAAGUCAGAGGUGAAAGCCCACGGCUCAACCGUGGAAGUGCCCCUGAUACUGGUUGUCUUGAGGGAGAUAGGGGCGUGCGGAACUUCCGGUGGAGCGGUGAAAUGCGUAGAUAUCGGAAGGAACACCGGUGGCGAAAGCGGCGCGCUGGAUCUCUACUGACGCUGAGGCGCGAAAGCCAGGGGAGCAAACAGG